rnacentral:rRNA from 1 species
GUGCCAGCCGCCGCGGUAAUACGGAGGGGGCAAGCGUUGUUCGGAAUCAUUGGGCGUAAAGGGCGCGUAGGCGGCCGACCAAGUCGGGUGUGAAAUCCCUCGGCUCAACCGAGGAACUGCAUUCGAUACUGGUUGGCUAGAGUCCGGGAGGGGAUGGUGGAAUUCCCAGUGUAGCGGUGAAAUGCGUAGAUAUUGGGAAGAACACCGGUGGCGAAGGCGGCCAUCUGGACCGGCACUGACGCUGAGGCGCGAAAGCCAGGGGAGCGAAUGGGAUUAGAUACCCCCGUAGUCC